rnacentral:rRNA from 1 species
UACGGAGGGGGCAAGCGUUAUUCGGAAUUAUUGGGCGUAAAGGGCGCGUAGGCGGCUAGAUGUGUCAAAGGUGAAAUCCCUCGGCUCAACUGAGGAACUGCCUUUGAAACUGUCUGGCUUGAGGCCGGGAGAGGGUAGCGGAAUUCCCAGUGUAGCGGUGAAAUGCGUAGAUAUCAGGAAGAACACCGGUGGCGAAAGCGCUCUGCUGGACCUUAACUGACACUGAGGGACGAAAGCUAGGGGAGCGAAUGGG